rnacentral:rRNA from 1 species
GAGAAACCGGGGCUAAUACCGGAUGGUUGUUUGAACCGCAUGGUUCAGACAUAAAAGGUGGCUUCGGCUACCACUUACAGAUGGACCCGCGGCGCAUUAGCUAGUUGGUGAGGUAACGGCUCACCAAGGCAACGAUGCGUAGCCGACCUGAGAGGGUGAUCGGCCACACUGGGACUGAGACACGGCCCAGACUCCUACGGGAGGCAGCAGUAGGGAAUCUUCCGCAAUGGACGAAAGUCUGACGGAGCAACGCCGCGUGAGUGAUGAAGGUUUUCGGAUCGUAAAGCUCUGUUGUUAGGGAAGAACAAGUGCCGUUCAAAUAGGGCGGCACCUUGACGGUACCUAACCAGAAAGCCACGGCUAACUACGUGCCAGCAGCCGCGGUAAUACGUAGGUGGCAAGCGUUGUCCGGAAUUAUUGGGCGUAAAGGGCUCGCAGGCGGUUUCUUAAGUCUGAUGUGAAAGCCCCCGGCUCAACCGGGGAGGGUCAUUGGAAACUGGGGAACUUGAGUGCAG